GAUGAACGCUGGCGGCGUGCCUAAUACAUGCAAGUCGAGCGAACAGACGAGGAGCUUGCUCCUCUGACGUUAGCGGCGGACGGGUGAGUAACACGUGGAUAACCUACCUAUAAGACUGGGAUAACUUCGGGAAACCGGAGCUAAUACCGGAUAAUAUAUUGAACCGCAUGGUUCAAUAGUGAAAGACGGUUUUGCUGUCACUUAUAGAUGGAUCCGCGCCGCAUUAGCUAGUUGGUAAGGUAACGGCUUACCAAGGCAACGAUGCGUAGCCGACCUGAGAGGGUGAUCGGCCACACUGGAACUGAGACACGGUCCAGACUCCUACGGGAGGCAGCAGUAGGGAAUCUUCCGCAAUGGGCGAAAGCCUGACGGAGCAACGCCGCGUGAGUGAUGAAGGUCUUCGGAUCGUAAAACUCUGUUAUUAGGGAAGAACAAAUGUGUAAGUAACUAUGCACGUCUUGACGGUACCUAAUCAGAAAGCCACGCCUAACUACGUG
rnacentral:rRNA from 1 species